rnacentral:rRNA from 1 species
CAGCCGCCACGGUAAUACAGAGGGUGCGAGCGUUAAUCGGAUUUACUGGGCGUAAAGCGUGCGUAGGCGGCUUCUUAAGUCGGAUGUGAAAUCCCUGAGCUUAACUUAGGAAUUGCAUUCGAUACUGGGAAGCUAGAGUAUGGGAGAGGAUGGUAGAAUUCCAGGUGUAGCGGUGAAAUGCGUAGAGAUCUGGAGGAAUACCGAUGGCGAAGGCAGCCAUCUGGCCUAAUACUGACGCUGAGGUACGAAAGCAUGGGGAGCAAACAGGAUUAGAUACCCCUGUAGUCCCUGUCUCACAUAC